UACGUAGGGCGCAAGCGUUAUCCGGAAUUAUUGGGCGUAAAGCGCGCGCAGGCGGCUUCUUAAGUCUGAUGUGAAAGCCCACGGCUCAACCGUGGAGGGUCAUUGGAAACUGGGGAGCUUGAGUGCAGAAGAGGAGAGUGGAAUUCCAUGUGUAGCGGUGAAAUGCGUAGAUAUAUGGAGGAACACCAGUGGCGAAGGCGGCUCUCUGGUCUGUAACUGACGCUGAGGCGCGAAAGCGUGGGGAGCAAACAGG
rnacentral:rRNA from 1 species